GAAGGUAUAGCUCAAUGGUAGAGUGCAUGCCUAGCGUGCAUGAGGUCCUAGGUUCAAUCUCCAGUACCUCCA
rnacentral:tRNA from 1 species